GAUGGAGCACGCCGCGUGAGUGAAGAAGGGUUUCGGCUCGUAAAACUCUGUUGUUAGAGAAGAACAGCCGUGAGAGCAACUGCUCACGGUAUGACGGUAUCUAACCAGAAAGUCACGGCUAACUACGUGCCAGCAGCCGCGGUAAUACGUAGGUGGCAAACGUUGUCCGGAUUUAUUGGGCGUAAAGGGAGCGCAGGCGGUUUAUUAAGUCUGAUGUGAAAGCCUUCGGCUUAACCGGAGAAGUGCAUCGGAAACUGAUAAACUUGAGUGCAGAAAAGGAUAGUGGAACUUCAUGUGUAGCGGUGAAAUGCGUAGAUAUAUGAAGGAACACCAGUGGCGAAGGCGGCUAUCUGGUCUGUAACUGACGCUGAGGCUCGAAAGCAUGGGUAGCAAACAGGAUUAGAUACCCUGGUAGUCCAUGCCGUAAACGAUGAAUGCUAGGUGUUGGAAGGUUUCCGCCUUUCAGUGCCGCAGCUAACGCAUUAAGCAUUCCGCCUGGGGAGUACGACCGCAAGGUUGAAACUCAAAGGAAUUGACGGGGACCCGCACAAGCGGUGGAGCAUGUGGUUUAAUUCGAUGCUACGCGAAGAACCUUACCAGGACUUGACAUCUUCUGCCAAUCUAAGAGAUUAGACGUUCCCUUCGGGGACAGAAUGACAGGUGGUGCAUGGUUGUCGUCAGCUCGUGUCGUGAGAUGUUGGGUUAAGUCCCGCAACGAGCGCAACCCUUGUCUUUAGUUGCCAGCAUUAAGUUGGGCACUCUAGAGAGACUGCCGGUGAUAAACCGGAGGAAGGUGGGGAUGACGUCAAAUCAUCAUGCCCCUUAUGUCCUGGGCUACACACGUGCUACAAUGGGCGAUACAACGAGUUGCGAAACCGCGAGGUCAAGCUAAUCUCUUAAAGUCGUUCUCAGUUCGGAUUGCAGUCUGCAACUCGACUGCAUGAAGUUGGAAUCGCUAGUAUCGUG
rnacentral:rRNA from 2 species